rnacentral:lncRNA from 1 species
UCAACUUCAGCUCCUCAUCCUGUGUCUAAGCCAAGUUUAGCCGAAGAAAACAUCUGCCGAGAAAGAGGUCCCAAAGCAAAGAAACAAAGCCCCACAGAGUUCACCCAGAGGGAAGGCCUUCACUGGAUCAGGCUAUAAGAGAAGGACUCUCCCCUGAGAAAGAUAAAUACUUAUUUUGGGGCCGUGUUUAGAGAAAAAGGAAGAACGAUGGCUUUCCCAUAGAAACAUUUACUUAUUUUGUGAUUUGAAAAUGGACUUUUAUGUUUUAGGAAUUAUGUGGAUGGGAUGUUUUCUUGGGUGAUCGAUUUGAAAUUGCAGAGGGGAGCAGGUGCCAUGUGCUGGCAAUGGCCGGC